CAAUAAAAUCUUGUAUUCCGAUCCCACCGCAUCCCGUUUUUUCCAAACACUGGGCUUCAUCCUGUCAACGCAAACGCAACCGGAUACACUCGUUACCAUGGCAACGACAACAAUAAUGGAUCGCGCCGUGUGUUUGUAAGAACAAAAUGGGGGAAAACGUGUUGGUGGUCACCGGUGCUCAGGAGAGGACGUUUGUUUGAGGCUUGCUUGAGUUCUGUAUGAUGAGACGGAUGCACCUCCUCUAAUGGAUGUUGUGGGAUUACUAUCUAAUGCGGCCAACAUUGAAAAGAAGACACUCACUACCAAUAAAGGUCCAGUGACUGUCACCGACAAGCAUCUACUGUAUUUCUCAGCCUCUAAACACAAGCUGCUGCAGUCUGGAAAAGAGAAUUAACUUACUGCGGAUGUCUCUGCUCUGUGGCCAAGUGGAGGUGAUCGCACGCUACUGAUGCUGCCGGGGACUUGCUGUGAAAGAUGGUUGCCGUGGUGAUGUUUUGUGACCGGACUGCGCAUGUCACCCAGCUUGCGGCAGCUUCCGGAAGCUGAAUGUGAACUCAGCCUUGAGAAUCAUCUAAUGGAAAGUCAGAGAUUGAUUGAUAGUCUUUAAUAAAAUCAUAUUAGCAGCAUUUACA